rnacentral:rRNA from 1 species
UACACUCCUACGGGAGGCAGCAGUGAGGAAUAUUGGACAAUGGGUGGAAGCCUGAUCCAGCCAUCCCGCGUGCAGGAAGACGGCCCUAUGGGUUGUAAACUGCUUUUAUCUGGGGAUAAACCUACUUACGUGUAAGUAGCUGAAGGUACCAGAAGAAUAAGCACCGGCUAACUCCGUGCCAGCAGCCGCGGUAAUACGGAGGGUGCAAGCGUUAUCCGGAUUUAUUGGGUUUAAAGGGUCCGUAGGCGGACUGAUAAGUCAGUGGUGAAAUCCGACAGCUUAACUGUCGAACUGCCAUUGAUACUGUUAGUCUUGAGUAAGGUUGAAGUGGCUGGAAUAAGUAGUGUAGCGGUGAAAUGCAUAGAUAUUACUUAGAACACCAAUUGCGAAGGCAGGUCACUAAGUCUUAACUGACGCUGAUGGACGAAAGCGUGGGGAGCGAACAGGAUUAGAAACCCGUGUAGUCCCA